CAGAAACUCAAAGGAAUUGACGGGACCCGCACAAGCGGUGGAGCAUGUGGUUUAAUUCGACGAUACGCGAAGAACCUUACCUGGCCUUGACAUACUAAAAAGCUUUAAGAGAUUAGAGUGUGCUAGCUUGCUAGAAUUUAGAUACAGGUGCUGCACGGCUGUCGUCAGCUCGUGUCGUGAGAUGUUGGGUUAAGUCCCGCAACGAGCGCAACCCUCGUGUUUAGUUGCUAACAGUUCGGCUGAGAACUCUAAACAGACUGCCUACGCAAGUAGGAGGAAGGUGAGGACGACGUCAAGUCAUCAUGGCCCUUACGGCCAGGGCUACACACGUGCUACAAUGGGGUAUACAAAGAGCAGCGAUACGGUGACGUGGAGCAAAUCUAGAAAAUGCCUCUCAGUUCGGAUUGUAGUCUGCAACUCGACUACAUGAAGUUGGAAUCGCUAGUAAUCGUAGAUCAGCAAUGCUACGGUGAAUACGUUCCCGGGUCUU
rnacentral:rRNA from 1 species